UACGAAGGGGGCUAGCGUUGUUCGGAAUUACUGGGCGUAAAGCGCGCGCAGGCGGUCUUCCAAGUCAGUGGUGAAAGCCCGGAGCUCAACUCCGGAACUGCCAUUGAAACUGUAAGACUUGAGGACGAGAGAGGUGAGUGGAAUUCCCAGUGUAGAGGCGAAAUUCGUAGAUAUUGGGAAGAACACCGGUGGCGAAGGCGGCCCUCUGGACGGUGACUGACGCUGAGACGCGAAAGCGUGGGGAGCAAACAGG
rnacentral:rRNA from 1 species